rnacentral:rRNA from 1 species
UACGUAGGGGGCAAGCGUUGUCCGGAAUCACUGGGCGUAAAGCGCGCGCAGGCGGCCAUUUGCGUCCGGGGUGAAAGCCCAAGGCUCAACCUUGGGAUUGCCUUGGAUACGGGAUGGCUUGAGGAUCGGGAGAGGCAAGGGGAAUUCCACGUGUAGCGGUGAAAUGCGUAGAGAUGUGGAGGAACACCUGUGGCGAAGGCAAUCCCCUGGGCCUGCACUGGACGCUCAUGCACGAAAGCGUGGGGAGCAAACAGG